AUACGUAGGGGGCGAGCGUUGUCCGGAAUUAUUGGGCGUAAAGAGCGUGUAGGCGGUUCGGUAAGUCUGCCGUGAAAACCUGGGGCUCAACCCCGGGCGUGCGGUGGAUACUGCCGGGCUAGAGGGUGGUAGAGGCGAGUGGAAUUCCCGGUGUAGCGGUGAAAUGGGCAGAUAUCGGGAGGAACACCAGUAGCGAAGGCGGCUCGCUGGGCCAUUCCUGACGCUGAGACGCGAAAGCUAGGGGAGCGAACAGUAUUAGAUCCCCUGGUAGUCCUAGCCGUAAACGAUGAACACUAGGUGUGGGGGGAGUCGAAUCCCUCUGUGCCGCAGCCAACGCGUUAAGUGUUCCGCCUGGGGAGUACGGCCGCAAGGCUAAAACUCAAAUGAAUUGACGGGG
rnacentral:rRNA from 1 species